rnacentral:tRNA from 1 species
GGGCCCGUGGUCUAGUUGGUUAUGACGUCGCCUUGACAUGGCGGAGGUCGUGAGUUCGAAUCUCACCGGGCCCA